rnacentral:rRNA from 1 species
GAUGAACGCUAGCGGCAGGCUUAAUACAUGCAAGUCGUGGGGCAGCAGGAGUAGCAAUACUUGCUGGCGACCGGCAAACGGGUGCGUAACACGUACGCAACUUUCCUUCAGGCGGGGAAUAGCCCAGAGAAAUUUGGAUUAAUACCCCAUAAAAUAUUGAGAUGGCAUCAUCUUAUUAUUAAAGCUUCGGCACCUGAAGAUGGGCGUGCGGCUGAUUAGGUAGNGGCGGGGUAACGGCCCACCAAGCCUACGAUCAGUAGCUGAUGUGAGAGCAUGAUCAGCCACACGGGCACUGAGACACGGGCCCCGACUCCUACGGGAGCAGCAGUAAGGAAUAUUGGUCAA